rnacentral:rRNA from 1 species
AGAGUUUGAUCCUGGCUCAGAGCGAACGCUGGCGGCAGGCUUAACACAUGCAAGUCGAGCGGGCGUAGCAAUACGUCAGCGGCAGACGGGUGAGUAACGCGUGGGAACGUACCUUUUGGUUCGGAACAACCCAGGGAAACUUGGGCUAAUACCGGAUAAGCCCUUACGGGGAAAGAUUUAUCGCCGAAAGAUCGGCCCGCGUCUGAUUAGCUAGUUGGUGAGGUAAUGGCUCACCAAGGCGACGAUCAGUAGCUGGUCUGAGAGGAUGAUCAGCCACAUUGGGACUGAGACACGGCCCAAACUCCUACGGGAGGCAGCAGUGGGGAAUAUUGGACAAUGGGCGCAAGCCUGAUCCAGCCAUGCCGCGUGAGUGAUGAAGGCCCUAGGGUUGUAAAGCUCUUUUGUGCGGGAAGAUAAUGACGGUACCGCAAGAAUAAGCCCCGGCUAACUUCGUGCCAGCAGCCGCGGUAAUACGAAGGGGGCUAGCGUUGCUCGGAAUCACUGGGCGUAAAGGGUGCGUAGGCGGGUCUUUAAGUCA